AUCACCUCAGUGACUUACAAGCAACUCACUAUGCUUUGGUACUGGACUAACUGAAUUUCUAAUUCAGAGAUGGAAGGCUUCUGGGCAUAGUCAAGUACUUGCGAAGUCAGAGUGUGAUCGAGAUGGGAUUGACCACUCCAAGAGUUGGAGAAGAAUGAGUCGCUGUAUUUCAAUUUAGCAAAACCUUAGCCAGGAUAAUCCAUUAGAUGGAUUUGAUAUUUUAAAAUACAAUGUGGACAACCUGAUCAGAGUUGACAGUUGAACUCUGGGAUGUUGUUCUACACAUUAGACCUAUCCGGUCGUCGAGUACCAUUGCUAGAUGGUCACUUCGAUUGGUACAAAAAUUUAUUUCUGUGCUACCGACUUAGGUUCAGACCUAUGAGGUCACACACAUAGAGCUCAUGAUCCGAUCAGAUGGUUGAUCAACGAUUAAGAAUCAUUCUAGGAUUAAAUGAUCAAUACGAUUGACAUUUAACCCAGUGCAAGUGUUACAGGAGGAUCGAUUAGCAAUUCGAUUGCUAAUUGGCUUAAUUUGAUUAAGCCAAUGGGCUGAGAUUNNNN
rnacentral:lncRNA from 1 species